CCUACGGGAGGCAGCAGUGGGGAAUAUUGCACAAUGGGGGAAACCCUGAUGCAGCGACGCCGCGUGAGUGAAGAAGUAUUUCGGUACGUAAAGCUCUAUCAGCAGGGAAGAAAAUGACGGUACCUGACUAAGAAGCCCCGGCUAACUACGUGCCAGCAGCCGCGGUAAUACGUAGGGGGCAAGCGUUAUCCGGAUUUACUGGGUGUAAAGGGAGCGUAGACGGCAGCGCAAGUCUGGAGUGAAAUCCCAUGGCUUAACCAUGGAACUGCUUUGGAAACUGUGCAGCUAGAGUGCAGGAGAGGUAAGCGGAAUUCCUAGUGUAGCGGUGAAAUGCGUAGAUAUUAGGAGGAACACCAGUGGUGAAGGCGGCUUACUGGACUGUAACUGACGUUGAGGCUCGAAAGCGUGGGGAGCAAACAGGAUUAGAUACCCCUGUAGUC
rnacentral:rRNA from 1 species